AACUCGCUGUGAAGAUGCAGUGUACCCGCGGCAAGACGGAAAGACCCCGUGAACCUUUACUAUAGCUUGACACUGAACAUUGAGCCUUGAUGUGUAGGAUAGGUGGGAGGCUUUGAAGUGUGGACGCCAGUCUGCAUGGAGCCGACCUUGAAAUACCACCCUUUAAUGUUUGAUGUUCUAACGUAGGCCCCUUAUCGGGGUUGCGGACAGUGUCUGGUGGGUAGUUUGACUGGGGCGGUCUCCUCCUAAAGAGUAACGGAGGAGCACGAAGGUUGGCUAAUCCUGGUCGGACAUCAGGAGGUUAGUGCAAUGGCAUAAGCCAGCUUGACUGCGAGCGUGACGGCGCGAGCAGGUGCGAAAGCAGGUCAUAGUGAUCCGGUGGUUCUGAAUGGAAGGGCCAUCGCUCAACGGAUAAAAGGUACUCCGGGGAUAACAGGCUGAUACCGCCCAAGAGUUCAUAUCGACGGCGGUGUUUGGCACCUCGAUGUCGGCUCAUCACAUCCUGGGGCUGAAGUAGGUCCCAAGGGUAUGGCUGUUCGCCAUUUAAAGUGGUACGCGAGCUGGGUUUAGAACGUCGUGAGACAGUUCGGUCCCUA
rnacentral:rRNA from 1 species